CUACCCUGACUUCAUGACUGAAUCUCCGCACCGACCCCCACCGCCCAGAGUCGGAGCGCGAACGACAACACCAAGGCGAGGCGGAAGUCCCACCCUACGCAUCUCAUUGGCCCGCACCAGAAGGCAUGAAUUUAUUUGAGCCAUCAAUCACACAAUUUCACUUCCUUGAAAGAGGCUUUGCAUCUGGUGAUGAGCUCUACAAUCUGGAAACUCUCCCGGCCGCCAUCCUGAUUAUAGUUAAGGCUUAUCAACCUUGGCAAUUUAAUGAAAUGCAUUCGCCCCUAGUUUGUUCAUUUCCAAAAAUAAAGAUGUGGAGGAACUGCUGAA